UGAGGAAUAUUGGUCAAUGGGCGGGAGCCUGAACCAGCCAAGCCGCGUGAGGGAAGAAGGCCCUAUGGGUCGUAAACCUCUUUUGUCAGGGAACAAAAGCGAGUAUGUAUACUAGUCUGAGUGUACCUGAAGAAAAAGCAUCGGCUAACUCCGUGCCAGCAGCCGCGGUAAUACGGAGGAUGCGAGCGUUAUCCGGAUUUAUUGGGUUUAAAGGGUGCGUAGGCGGCGAUGCAAGUCAGCGGUAAAAGCCCGGGGCUCAACCCCGGCGAGCCGUUGAAACUGCAGUGCUGGAGAAGGCGAGAGGUACGCGGAAUGCGCAGUGUAGCGGUGAAAUGCUUAGAUAUUGCGCAGAACUCCGAUUGCGAAGGCAGCGUACUGGCGCCUGACUGACGCUGAGGCACGAAAGCGUGGGGAUCGAACAGGAUUAGAUACCC
rnacentral:rRNA from 1 species